AUUCACGCAACUUUCAUAAUAUAAUAUUCCCUCAUUGAACUUUGAGGAGACGCCUACCGUAGCAUACGGAGAGCGAAGAGCGCUUUAUACUGCAAUAGAUCAUGUCAACAAAACGCAUUUAGUCGACAGAGAGAGAAGAAUGGACACACAAUCACGCCAGAACUGGGUAGCAUGGAAAAGGAAAACACAAGUGCAGACCCUGCUCUUGACACAACGAGCGCUUCUUCUCACUGAAAUCACUUGAGGAUUGGAACAUUGAAGGAUGUUCGGGGAUAUAAAAGGCACACGAGCGUUUGUGAAGAUUGCAAAGAAAGAUCAUUUAAAAGGCGAAUAGUAUCAGAGACUUCAUAUAUCGUUUUGAUAAAAGACCAAGAAUUUUCUUCAUUUUUAAGGAAGUUUCUCUACAAAAAUUCAUGACUGGCAUCCUUUAAGUGACAGCUUACAAUACGAUCGGCCAUCGAUUCAUGAACUGAUUUCCCAUGGAACCGAUAUCGCAGACUUAAACACGGUUUUCUUCACUUUGACAUGAUUGAAUUUGUCAUGUUCAGUACACAAAAAGGAUAUGCGAGGAAACCCAAUAAAAUUAAUUCAGCAAAAUUCAAUCAACACGACAACCGACUUGACGAAACGGAACCCUAAUUAGAGAGGCGAUGGAUUUUUAACUGUCUGUGACGGAUAGAGUUUCACUGAGCACAAUCCAUAACGAUGGCAGAAUUUACACUGUGCACUGGUAGUGAUUGAGGUGGUUUUCAAAAACUUCAAUCAAAUCGACUGCCACCCCAAAAUUUGCUUUACAACCCGAAACAUGGCUGCUCCGAUCGCAAUCAUCUUUGUCACUUACGGAGAAGUGUGACCUAAUGUUAAUUGCGACUGGGCCAAUCAUCUAUGAGUUAAAUCUGUGACGUAGUGUCGAUGUACCACGCGGAUCGAAGACUUUACAAACCGAAAGAAACCUUAUCAAUACACCCUAUUUCUCCAGCUCACCU